rnacentral:rRNA from 1 species
ACUCCUACGGGAGGCAGCAGUGGGGAAUUUUGGACAAUGGGCGCAAGCCUGAUCCAGCAAUGCCGCGUGCAGGAAGAAGGCCUUCGGGUUGUAAACUGCUUUUGUCAGGGAAGAAAUCUUUUGGGCUAAUAGCCCGGGGGGAUGACGGUACCUGAAGAAUAAGCACCGGCUAACUACGUGCCAGCAGCCGCGGUAAUA